GCCAUUUAUCAGUGUUCUGAUUUUUUUAAAAUACUGAGUUUGAGUUUGGGAUUUUAUUUGUCGAAGAAAACCCUAAUAUGACGAGCUCUCAAAUACAAUCUAAGAGCAAAUCGAGUGUUUAAAUCUAAGACCAAAUCAGGAAUCAAUGGAUAAUCCACCGACAGAUACACCUCCACCUCUUAGGCGUAACUCAAAUGAUGUAGGAUGGGAGUAUGGAGUCUUGUGUGAUGCUAGAAGUCUAGACAAAGUCAAAUGUAAAUUGUGUGGAAAAGAGUUUUCUGGUGGUGUGUUUAGAAUGAAAGAACACAUUGCUCAUCUGGAAGGAAAUGUGUCAGCUUGUCAUGUAUCAAGUAAAGAAGAUCAAGAGAAGUGUAAGAAGGCGGUUCUUGAAGGAAAAAACAAGAAGAAUCUGAAGCGAAAACAUGAGGAAGCUUUGCGGGCAGAGGUGAACAUAAGUAAAGACAGUGGUACUGAAGAACUGGAAAGAGAGCUUGAAGCACUUAAAACUCCCCACUCCCAAGGUCCUAUUGAUCAAUAUGUGAGCAGCACUAACCCUGAAGCUUCUUUAGCAGCACAAACACGACAACAGAGUAUCCACGAUGCUAUUUCUAAAGAGAAGACACAUGUUGUUCGCCAAUACUGUUCUAGAUGGCUUUACCACACGAGUAUCCCUUUCAAUGCCAUUGACAAUGAUAGUUUCAGACUAUUUUGUGAAGCAUUAGGAGAGUUUGGGCCUGGUUGGGUGCCUCCAAGUCAGUGUCAGCUUAGAGAGCCAUUGCUAAUUGAAGAACAAGAGAAGACAAAGGAAAAAUUGAAGAUCUUAGAAGAAGAAUGGGAAAGGGAAGGCUGCUCAUUGAUGACUGAUGCAUGGAGUGACAUGAAAAGAAGAAGCAUAAUGAAUAUGUGUGUUAACUCAAGAGGUGGUACAUGCUUUCUAUCAUCAAAGGAUACAUCAAAAGAUUCUCACACUGGUGAGUUUAUCUUUUACUAUAUUGAUCAAUGCAUUAAAGAUAUAGGAGCUGAUAAGAUUGUGCAAGUUGUUACUGAUAAUGCGACCAACAACGUUGCUGCCGCAAAGAUGCUUAAGCAGAAGAGACCGAGAAUAUUCUGAACUGGUUGUGCUGCCCACACAGUUGACUUGAUGCUUGAAGGGAUUUCGAAGUUGUCUGGUUAUGCUAGAAUAAUAGAUCAAGCGAAGGCUGUCACCAUCUUUAUAUAUGCGCAUCAUAAGACCUUAUCUAUGAUGAGAGCAUAUGCAAAGAGAGACAUUGUGCGGCCAGGUGCAACAAGGUUUGCGACUUGCUUCUUGACACUGCAUAGUUUGUACGAGAAGAAGGCACAGUUGAAGAAUAUGUUUGGAAGUGAUGAGUGGCAUGAUUGCAAGCAUUCAAAGUGUGUGAAAGGUAAAAAUGCGAGUGAUAUUGUGAUGACUUACUCAUUCUGGAAUAGUGUGAUGGUUAUUCUGAAGGUCUUCAGCCCUCUUGUGAAAAUUCUAAGGUUGGCGGAUGGGGAAAAGGUUCCAUCUCUUGGGUUUAUUUUUGGUGAGAUCUUAGAAGCUAAGAAAUCUAUCAAGGAAGCUUCUGAUCACUUGGAGAAGAAUUACCUCCCUGUUUUUCGCAUCAUUGAUGAGAAAAUGAAAGGGAAUUGGUGGGCAACGUAUGGAUGUGGUGCACCUACUCUACAAAGGUUGGCAACAAGGAUACUUGCUUUGACAUCUAGUUCUUCAGGAUGUGAGAGAAAUUGAAGUAGCUUUGAAGGGAUCCACACAAAGAGAAGAAAUAGACUAGGUGUCAAUCGCUUGAACAGUCUAGUGUAUGUUCAUUUCAAUGCAAGGCUACUUAACAAGCAAAAAAAAAUCAGAGAGAAAAACGCGGAUGUGAUAUUUGAUGAUGGCAAUGAAGAUACUGUUGAAGACUGGCUUGUGGAACAUGUGGAAGAACCAAUAGUGAUGUUAAUUUUCUGAUUGGAAUCCACUCUCCAAGGGUAAGAGAUUUAUAUGAUGAUGACUUUGAAUCUGAAGAAGAAGAAGAUAUUGUUGACAUGGAGUUUGAACCUGAUGUCUCACAAGUUGCUUCAUAAGGUCAGUUUAUUGUCUUUUUCAUUGCAUAUUGUCUCUGUUUUGGUUUACUCUUUCUCUUGAUGUCUAAUUUUCUAUUUUUGUCAAAGUUUUGGUACAUAGAUACGUGAGGAGCGUGAUGUUUUGUUCUCAAGUCAUGUUUUUGUCUUUGUUUGUUUUUGCUUUCAAAGUCAAGAUGACAUUGUUUUAUUUUUCUAACACAUCUUUCUACUACACGGUGAUAACAUGAUCUUUGAAGAUUAGAACUAACUUUUUGUAUAUUCUUAAGAUCAAGACAAUAUCUUUUUGGUGUAUCCCGUGUAUAGAAAUUAGUUUUUGUUUUUAGAACUCGAUGUGUAUUAGAAAAAAAAUCAAUAUAUUUUGGAGUAUAAGCUUUA